AGCGAACGCUGGCGGCAGGCCUAACACAUGCAAGUCGAACGAACCCUUCGGGGUUAGUGGCGGACGGGUGAGUAACACGUGGGAACGUGCCUUUAGGUUCGGAAUAACUCAGGGAAACUUGUGCUAAUACCGAAUGUGCCCUUCGGGGGAAAGAUUUAUCGCCUUUAGAGCGGCCCGCGUCUGAUUAGCUAGUUGGUGAGGUAAUGGCUCACCAAGGCUACGAUCAGUAGCUGGUCUGAGAGGAUGACCAGCCACAUUGGGACUGAGACACGGCCCAAACUCCUACGGGAGGCAGCAGUGGGGAAUCUUGCGCAAUGGGCGAAAGCUUGACGCAGCCAUGCCGCGUGGAUGAUGAAGGUCUUAGGAUUGUAAAAUCCUUUCACCGGUGAAGAUAAUGACUGUAGCCGGAGAAGAAGCUCCGGCUAACUUCGUGCCGGCCGCCGCGGUAACAC
rnacentral:rRNA from 1 species